rnacentral:rRNA from 1 species
UGGGGAAUUUUGGACAAUGGGCGAAAGCCUGAUCCAGCAAUGCCGCGUGUGUGAAGAAGGCCUUCGGGUUGUAAAGCACUUUUGUCCGGAAAGAAAUCCUUGGCUCUAAUACAGUCGGGGGAUGACGGUACCGGAAGAAUAAGCACCGGCUAACUACGUGCCAGCAGCCGCGGUAAUACGUAGGGUGCAAGCGUUAAUCGGAAUUACUGGGCGUAAAGCGUGCGCAGGCGGUUUGCUAAGACCGAUGUGAAAUCCCCGGGCUCAACCUGGGAACUGCAUUGGUGACUGGCAGGCUAGAGUAUGGCAGAGGGGGGUAGAAUUCCACGUGUAGCAGUGAAAUGCGUAGAGAUGUGGAGGAAUACCGAUGGCGAAGGCAGCCCCCUGGGCCAAUACUGACGCUCAUGCACGAAAGCGUGGGGAGCAAACAGGAUUAGAUACCCUGGUAGUCCACGCCCUAAACGAUGUCAACUAGUUGUUGGGGAUUCAUUUUCCUUAGUAACGUAGCUAACGCGUGAAGUUGACCGCCUGGGGAGUACGGUCGCAAGAUUAAAACUUAAAUGAAUUGACGGGGUCAUAGCUG